GCUUCAACGCGAGACAUCUCGGCUGUAAGAUUUUACUUUUGACGUUGUUUGGGGUCGACUCGGCGCUUUACGGGGACGACUCCGAUGAUGAACGGUUUGAAUCCUUGUUUUCCUGUUUUUCUGAGAGGGUCGCCUCGGCACUUUACGGGGACGUCUCGGCUUGGUUGCGCUUUUUGCAUGGGGACGACUCCGAUGCCUUGGGGACGACUCCGCCGUUAUAUCUCCGAAAAACAAGUCUUCUGGAAUUCUCUGAGAGAGUCGACUCCGCUC
rnacentral:lncRNA from 1 species